rnacentral:hammerhead_ribozyme from 1 species
CUUCUGAGGAGUCUCACACUAGGACGAAACGGCCGUCAAAAAG